GGCGGCGGCGGCGGCGGCGGCGGCGGCGGAGGCGCGCGACUCGCCGGAACCGCGCCGGCGCUCGCCGGACGACGACGCCUACUCAACAUCAUCAAAAAAAUCAAAGAAAUCUCGGGAGCCCUCAUUAUCGCCACCACGAGAAAAGAGAUCUCGAUAUAGCGAAAGAAAAUCGCGGUCUCGCUCGAGGUCACGGGAGAGGGAGCGUUCGCGGGAGCGGGAGCGGGAGAGGUCGCGGGAGCGGGAGCGUCGGCGCCGCUCGCCCGCCACGCCGCCCGCCCACCACCACCGCAAACAUCCCAAGCACGCUAAGUACAAGUACUGAGCCCGCCCGAGAGAAACGACGUUGAGCCAGCGUUCAUUGUAAAUAUAUUCUGUCGACUGA